AUUGAACGCUGGCGGCAGGCCUAACACAUGCAAGUCGAGCGGUAACAGGGGAAGCUUGCUUCUCGCUGACGAGCGGCGGACGGGUGAGUAAUGUAUGGGGAUCUGCCCGAUAGAGGGGGAUAACCACCGGAAACGGUGGCUAAUACCGCAUAAUCUCUUAGGAGCAAAGCAGGGGAACUUCGGUCCUUGCGCUAUCGGAUGAACCCAUAUGGGAUUAGCUAGUAGGUGAGGUAAUGGCUCACCUAGGCGACGAUCCCUAGCUGGUCUGAGAGGAUGAUCAGCCACACUGGGACUGAGACACGGCCCAGACUCCUACAGGAGGCAGCAGUGGGGAAUAUUGCACAAUGGGCGCAAGCCUGAUGCAGCCAUGCCGCGUGUAUGAAGAAGGCCUUAGGGUUGUAAAGUACUUUCAGUCGGGAGGAAGGCGUUGAUGCUAAUAUCAUCAACGAUUGACGUUACCGACAGAAGAAGCACCGGCUAACUCCGUGCCAGCAGCCGCGGUAAUACGGAGGGUGCAAGCGUUAAUCGGAAUUACUGGGCGUAAAGCGCACGCAGGCGGUUGAUUAAGUUAGAUGUGAAAUCCCCGGGCUUAACCUGGGAAUGGCAUCUAAGACUGGUCAGCUAGAGUCUUGUAGAGGGGGGUAGAAUUCCAUGUGUAGCGGUGAAAUGCGUAGAGAUGUGGAGGAAUACCGGUGGCGAAGGCGGCCCCCUGGACAAAGACUGACGCUCAGGUGCGA
rnacentral:rRNA from 1 species